GACGAACGCUGGCGGCGUGCUUAACACAUGCAAGUCGAACGGAAAGGCCCUGCUUUUGUGGGGUGCUCGAGUGGCGAACGGGUGAGUAACACGUGAGUAACCUGCCCUUGACUUUGGGAUAACUUCAGGAAACUGGGGCUAAUACCGGAUAGGAGCUCCUGAUGCAUGGGGGGGGUUGGAAAGUUUCGGCGGUUGGGGAUGGACUCGCGGCUUAUCAGCUUGUUGGUGGGGUAGUGGCUUACCAAGGCUUUGACGGGUAGCCGGCCUGGGAGGGUGGCCGGCCACAUUGGGACUGAGGUACGGCCCAGUCUCCUACGGGAGGCAGCAGUGGGGAAUAUUGCACAAUGGGCGGAAGCCUGAUGCAGCAACGCCGCGUGCGGGAUGACGGCCUUCGGGUUGUAAACCGCUUUCGCCUGUGACGAAGCGUGAGUGACGGUAAUGGGUAAAGAAGCACCGGCUAACUACGUG
rnacentral:rRNA from 1 species